AGAGUUUGAUCAUGGCUCAGAACGAACGCUGGCGGCAGGCUUAACACAUGCAAGUCGAACGGUUGUAGCAAUACAGCAGUGGCAGACGGGUGAGUAACACGUGGGAACCUUCCUAGGGGUACGGAACAACUCAGGGAAACUUGAGCUAAUACCGUAUACGUCCGUAAGGAGAAAGAUUCAUCGCCCCUAGACGGGCCCGCGUAGGAUUAGGUAGUUGGUGAGGUAACGGCUCACCAAGCCUACGAUCCUUAGCUGAUCUGAGAGGAUGAUCAGCCACACUGGGACUGAGACACGGCCCAGACUCCUACGGGAGGCAGCAGUGGGGAAUCUUGGACAAUGGGCGCAAGCCUGAUCCAGCCAUGCCGCGUGAGUGAAGAAGGCCUUCGGGUUGUAAAGCUCUUUUACCAGGGACGAUAAUGACGGUACCUGAGAA
rnacentral:rRNA from 1 species